CCUACGGGAGGCUGCAGUGAGGAAUAUUGGUCAAUGGACGAGAGUCUGAACCAGCCAAGUAGCGUGAAGGAUGACUGCCCUAUGGGUUGUAAACUUCUUUUAUAUGGGAAUAAAAUGUUCCACGUGUGGGAUUUUGUAUGUACCAUAUGAAUAAGGAUCGGCUAACUCCGUGCCAGCAGCCGCGGUAAUACGGAGGAUCCGAGCGUUAUCCGGAUUUAUUGGGUUUAAAGGGAGCGUAGGUGGCGUGUUAAGUCAGUUGUGAAAGUUUGCGGCUCAACCGUAAAAUUGCAGUUGAAACUGGCAGUCUUGAGUACAGUAGAGGUGGGCGGAAUUGGUGGUGUAGCGGUGAAAUGCUUAGAUAUCACGAAGAACUCCGAUUGCGAAGGCAGUUCACUGGACUGCAACUGACACUGAGGCUCGAAAGUGUGGGUAUCAAACAGGAUUAGAUACCCUGGUAGUC
rnacentral:rRNA from 1 species